UACGUAGGGGGCAAGCGUUGUCCGGAAUUACUGGGCGUAAAGAGCUCGUAGGUGGUUUGUCGCGUUGUUCGUGAAAACUCACAGCUUAACUGUGGGCGUGCGGGCGAUACGGGCAGACUGGAGUACUGCAGGGGAGACUGGAAUUCCUGGUGUAGCGGUGGAAUGCGCAGAUAUCAGGAGGAACACCGGUGGCGAGGGCGGGUCUCUGGGCAGUAACUGACGCUGAGGAGCGAAAGCGUGGGGAGCGAACAGG
rnacentral:rRNA from 1 species